GUACGUGCCACAUUUUAGCGAAACUACGGGCAGCUAUACUCACGUUCGAAACGAGGUUGAGCAAUCAUCAUUAUGGUUUCCGUUCUCGACUAAUUACCAAUAUAUUUAUGAUGAAGAGCGCUUUUAUUGGACUGGCAUGUCGAGGAACACAUCGACUUUGAGACCGUUGGUCGCACCCUUCGAAUGUUUCAAGCUACAAUUAGGCAAACAAAUGCUAGAGGAGAAGACUGACGCAUGUAAUCUCGAGCUGCCAUUCGUCUGUCAAAAAGUUCCAGUUAACUGUGGAAACACUUUUACACGAACCGAAAGAAUUCUCAACUUUACUAUAGAAAGCGGAAGUAAUGACAUGAACUGCGAAUGGAAAAUAGAGGGAUUUGACAACAUGUUCAUUCAAAUUAACAUUUCGUUUGACAUAGAAAAAUGUCUAAACUGUGAUUGUGACAGUUUGAAGAUUUACGACGCACCAUUAGCAAUGGGGCCACCAAAUAUAACAGUGUGCGGGUCCGGACAGAUGACAUUUAAUUCAACCCAAAAAGUAGUGACAAUUGUGUAUUCUUCGGAUAGGUCCGAACAAGGAACGGGAUUUCAAGCUA